rnacentral:rRNA from 1 species
UACAGAGGGGGGCAAGCGUUUGUUCGGAUUUACUGGGCGUAAAGGGCGCGUAGGCGGCCACCGCAAGUCGACUGUGAAAUCUCUGGGCUUAACCCAGAACGGUCAGCCGAUACUGCGGGGCUAGAGUGCAGAAGGGGGCAACUGGAAUUCUCGGUGUAGCGGUGAAAUGCGUAGAUAUCGAGAGGAACACCUGCGGCGAAGGCGGGUUGCUGGGCUGACACUGACGCUGAAGCGCGAAAGCCAGGGGAGCAAACGGG